AUUGAACGCUGGCGGCAUGCUUUACACAUGCAAGUCGAACGGCAGCGCGGGGGCAACCCUGGCGGCGAGUGGCGAACGGGUGAGUAAUGCAUCGGAACGUAUCCUGUAAUGGGGGAUAACGUAGCGAAAGUUACGCUAAUACCGCAUACGCUCGAGAGAGGAAAGUGGGGGGUCGCAAGACCUCACGUUAUAGGAGCGGCCGAUGUCCGAUUAGCUAGUUGGUGGGGUAAAGGCCUACCAAGGCGACGAUCGGUAGCUGGUCUGAGAGGAUGAUCAGCCACACUGGGACUGAGACACGGCCCAGACUCCUACGGGAGGCAGCAGUGGGGAAUUUUGGGACAAUGGGCGAAAGCCUGAUCCAGCCAUGCCGCGUGCGGGAAGAAGGCC
rnacentral:rRNA from 1 species